AAGGUGUAAUGGUGUCUGGUGUCUUUUCCCUCUGGUAGAGAUUGAUGCUGACAUGCACAUGGAUAAAGGUUAUCGAAAGCGAGGACUGGAUGAGAGCAGCUCUUUGAGCACAAUGAACGCUCCAGACAAGAAAGGAGGUUACUGCAUCAAUUAUUACUGGGGCUAUUCCUGUACCCGCAGAAUUAGAUGCUAUCGGAGAUGUAAGUAU